ACUCCUACGGGAGGCAGCAGUGGGGAAUCUUGCGCAAUGGGCGAAAGCCUGACGCAGCCAUGCCGCGUGUAUGAUGAAGGUCUUAGGAUUGUAAAAUACUUUCACCGGUGAAGAUAAUGACUGUAGCCGGAGAAGAAGCCCCGGCUAACUUCGUGCCAGCAGCCGCGGUAAUACGAAGGGGGCUAGCGUUGCUCGGAAUUACUGGGCGUAAAGGGAGCGUAGGCGGACAUUUAAGUCAGAGGUGAAAUCCCGGAGCUUAACUUCGGAACUGCCUUUGAUACUGGGUGUCUUGAGUGUGAGAGAGGUAUGUGGAACUCCGAGUGUAGAGGUGAAAUUCGUAGAUAUUCGGAAGAACUCCAGUGGCGAAGGCGACAUACUGGCUCAUUACUGACGCUGAGGCUCGAAAGCGUGGGGAGCAAACAGGAUUAGAUACCCUGGUAGUCCACGCCGUAAACGAUGAUUGCUAGUUGUCGGGAAGCUUGCUUCUCGGUGAUGCAGCUAA
rnacentral:rRNA from 1 species